rnacentral:rRNA from 1 species
GACAGAGGUGCCGAGCGUUAGGCGGAAUCACUGGGCUUAAAGCGUGUGUAGGCGGCCACGUAAGUCGGAUGUGAAAGCCCCGGGCUCAACUCGGGAAGUGCACUCGAUACUGCGUGGCUUGAGUACUGGAGAGGUUGGUGGAAUUCUCGGUGUAGAGGUGAAAUUCGUAGAUAUCGAGAGGAACACCGGUGGCGAAGGCGGCCAACUGGACAGAUACUGACGCUGAGACACGAAAGCGUGGGGAGCAAACAGG